rnacentral:rRNA from 1 species
UGGAGAAUUUUGGUCAAUGGGCGCAAGCCUGAUCCAGCCAUUCCGCGUGCAGGACGAAGGCCUUAGGGUUGUAAACUGCUUUUGUGCGGAACGAAAAGCCCUUCUCUAAUACAGAGGGGUCAUGACGGUACCGUAAGAAUAAGCACCGGCUAACUACGUGCCCGCAGCCGCGGUAAUACGUAGGGUGCAAGCGUUAAUCGGAAUUACUGGGCGUAAAGCGUGCGUAGGUGGUGGUUUAAGUCAGAUGUGAAAUCCCCGGGCUCAACCUGGGAACUGCAUUUGUGACUGCAUCGCUGGAGUGCGGCAGAGGGGGAUGGAAUUCCGCGUGUAGCAGUGAAAUGCGUAGAUAUGCGGAGGAACACCGACGGAGAAGGCAAUCCCCUGGGCCUGCACUGACGCUCAGGCACGAAAGCUUGGGGAGCAAACA